UACAGAGGUCCCGAGCGUUGUUCGGAUUCACUGGGCGUAAAGGGUGCGUAGGUGGUGAGGUAAGUCGGAUGUGAAAUCUCCGGGCUCAACCCGGAAACUGCAUUGGAAACUACCUUGCUGGAGGGUUUGAGGGGGGACUGGAAUUCUCGGUGUAGCAGUGAAAUGCGUAGAUAUCGAGAGGAACACCGGUGGCGAAGGCGGCAUCCUGGACCGGCAUUGACGCUGAGGCGCGAAAGCCAGGGGAGCAAACGGG
rnacentral:rRNA from 1 species